AGUGAACGCUGGCGGUAUGCCUAACACAUGCAAGUCGAACGGCAGCACAGUAAGAGCUUGCUCUUACGGGUGGCGAGUGGCGGACGGGUGAGGAAUACAUCGGAAUCUACUUUUUCGUGGGGGAUAACGUAGGGAAACUUACGCUAAUACCGCAUACGACCUACGGGUGAAAGCAGGGGAUCUUCGGACCUUGCGCGAUUGAAUGAGCCGAUGUCGGAUUAGCUAGUUGGCGGGGUAAAGGCCCACCAGGGCGACGAUCCGCAGCUGGUCUGAGAGGAGGGUCGCCCACACUGGAACUGGGACAGGGUCAAGGCUCCUACGGGAGGCAGCAGUGGGGAAUAUUAGACAACGGGCGCAAGCCUGAUCCAGCCAUCCCGCGUGGGUGAAGAAGGCCUUCGGGUUGUAAAGCCCUUUUGUUGGGAAAGAAAAGCAGCCGGUUAAUACCCCGCUGUUCUGACGGUACCCAAUGAAUAAGCACCGGCUAACUUCGUG
rnacentral:rRNA from 1 species